UAGGGAAUCUUCGGCAAUGGGGGGAACCCUGACCGAGCAACGCCGCGUGAGUGAAGAAGGUUUUCGGAUCGUAAAGCUCUGUUGUUAAGGAAGAACGAGUGUGAGAAUGGAAAGUUCAUGCUGUGACGGUACUUAACCAGAAAGGGACGGCUAACUACGUGCCAGCAGCCGCGGUAAUACGUAGGUCCCGAGCGUUGUCCGGAUUUAUUGGGCGUGAAGCGAGCGCAGGCGGUUAGAAAAGUCUGAAGUGAAAGGCAGUGGCUCAACCAUUGUAGGCUUUGGAAACUGUUUAACUUGAGUGCAGAAGGGGAGAGUGGAAUUCCAUGUGUAGCGGUGAAAUGCGUAGAUAUAUGGAGGAACACCGGUGGCGAAAGCGGCUCUCUGGUCUGUAACUGACGCUGAGGCUCGAAAGCGUGGGGAGCGAACAGG
rnacentral:rRNA from 1 species